AUUGAACGCUGGCGGCAGGCCUAACACAUGCAAGUCGAGCGGAUGAAGGGAGCUUGCUCCUGGAUUCAGCGGCGGACGGGGGAGUAAUGCCUAGGAAUCUGCCUGGUAGGGGGGGAUAACGUCCGGAAACGGGCGCUAAUACCGCAUACGUCCUGAGGGAGAAAGUGGGGGAUCUUCGGACCUCACGCUAUCAGAUGAGCCUAGGUCGGAGUAGCUAGUUGGUGGGGUAAAGGCCUACCAAGGCGACGAUCCGUAACUGGUCUGAGAGGAUGAUCAGUCACCCUGGAACUGAGCCACCGUCCAGACUCCUACGGGAGGGAGCAGUGGGGAAUAUUGGACAAUGGGCGAAAGCAUGAUACAGCCAUGCCGCGUGUGUGAAGAAGGUCUUCGGAUUGUAAAGCCCUUCAAGUUGGGAGGAAGGGCAGUAAGUUAAUACCUUGCUGUUUUGACGUUACCAACAGAAUAAGCACCGGCUAACUUCGUG
rnacentral:rRNA from 1 species